CUGCCUGUCCCGAUCCCGCGCGCCGCUGCAGCACGCGUCUGCCCCGGAGCCGGUCGCCUCGGCAAGUGGAUCUGGUCCUGCCAGAGUAAUUUAAUUCAGAGCCAGUGUACAGAAAAUCUACCAGAACUCCAGCCCACCAUGUCUCUGACAAACAGGUGAGAAGGCCAGAAAGUUUUAAUGAAGAUAAUUACCAUCCUGUUGUGGAAGGACAUGUUGCUUUCUCUCUCAAGUUAGACGUCUCAGGACUGCUCUAAACAGCAUCACAGGAAAGAAACUAAGAAGCCACAAUUUAAUCCACUUCCCCUUUGCUCUUGGGACUCAUUUGCUGCUGUGUAUCACAAACAUCAACCCUAUCCCAGAUGUAUAGAGCAAGGAACCAAGAAAGUUACUUGCAGCCUACACAUUCUUUCUUCAGAGAAGGCAAACACACACUUGUGGAAGGUUAUACUGAUGGAUAAUAACCUCAAUUAAGCAAACGGGAAAACAUGAAAAAAACAUCAUGAUUAGAUUAAAUAACCAUGGACCGUCAAGCAUUGGAAGAAGUUUCCUGGAGAAGCUGUGUAGUUUCUGUCUGUUCUCGGAGAUUCUCAUGACACAAUUAGAUAAAGCCUUCAGCCACCUGGGUCUGACCUCAACUUGACCCUGGUUUGAACAGGAGUAUGGACCAGAUUGCUCCUAAGGUCCCUUUCAAUAUGAAUGAUUGAUAUGAUUUAUGAUUUUGUUUUAUGACCUAUGAUUUUAGGACUUUCUCACUCUAAGCUAAGGACCAGAAUGGAUUGUCUGAGAAGGUUGUGGCAUUUUUACCCUGGCAGAAUUUGAAGAGGCUAGAGGGGAAAAGGAGGAGUUUGGCAAACACACACCUGCAAGAAACACAUUAGAUGGUGUUGUGCUGGGAUUGGGACAUGGACUACGUGAGUUAUAUAGGUCAUUUCUAAUUCCAAUUGCCAAGUAAAACUCUGAGAAUUUAUGAAUUGAUUAACCUUCUAUGAUGAAUAUCUGAUUAAAAUGACAUCAGAACAAAAUAACCCCAACAAGCUGGAGCUCAUACUAUAUAAGCAAUUCCCUUCUUCCUUAGAAUUCUACAGAAUCUAUCUAGUGGGUCGACACUUUCCAAGCAGUUUCACUGUUUUCUGCUGCAGAUCUGUCUAUGUUAAUCAUAUUUCAAAUAAGAUGCAAUACAAUAGUGAUUCUCAACCUCCUGUCCACAGACUGCUCAUGGUGUAUAAGGCAUCAGAAAAGGCAUCCACAAAAAGUUUGCAAAGAUGUCCGCAUAAAAGUAUGUACGUAUGCAUAUUUAUACAAUGUAUGGGCAUACCUACAUUCUCUUUUGAAGGAUGCACGCUGAUGUUGCCUGGCCCAGCACAACUGAGUACUUUCUCCCAACUGCUGUUUCUAUCUGUAGGCAGGCACUGUAAAGAAACAUGCAGAUCACAUUAAAUUGUUUUUAUUAUUUUCAACUGAAAUGUUUACAAACGUAGCAUUCUAUCGUUAUACGUUGAUAUUAGAAAACAAUAGGGAAGACUUUUUCCUAAAUGGUAAGACCUUAAUUCAUCAUUCUUUCCAUACGUGCUGAUUCAUUAAAUAUUUCUGCAAUGCAAGAUGGUUUGCAGACAUGUUUCAUAAGAUUUAGGCAAAAUUAAGAAAAGCAGACACUUUCCUUUGCAGCUUGAGAAAUGGCUUUAAGGGUGUGUUAUCAAUUUGCGAUGCAUGAUUUUGCUAUUAAGCUUAUUAAAGAAAAAUAUGUAUCACUGUACAACUGGUUGUGUUUAUGCUUUCAAACCACAAUGGUCAUCCAUAGAAAAUAAACACACACCAUUAGCUCCCCUUGUUUUCUUGAAUUCUUGAAAAAGCAGCAAACUGUUUUGGCUCCUGGGUUCAGAUAACAAAGAUACAAUUCCAAGAACUGAGAUAGCAUUUUUAAUUCUUUUGAUUUAUAUAGGAGAGUACUUUAAUGAGUAGUGUAAAUUUUUACAAUUUGUGUAAGGGUUUUUUUUGCUAUUUUAUUGGGUUUUGCUUUUUUGUUUAAAUGACAACGAGAUUUCUUUUGUUUGCUCUCUAACUAACAGAUUUUUUUCCCUUCUGUAUGUUCGAUACAGAAAGAAAUGUGCACCAUGCAAACUUCUCUGUGGCUUUUAUCCUUUGUGAAGGUUACAUUCAUGAGAACUAGCAUUGUAACUGUAGUAGAACAUGAUAUGUUAUUCAGCUGGGAUUCUUGAAGUCAAGUUGUUUACAGUUCUCUUGUGCACUUGUAGUCUCAGCCCAUAGGUCUGUUUAUACUGGUCUUGCCAAGCUGAAAGCAAUUCUGUCACUGCGCCAUAGGCUUCUACAUAAGACUCAGCACUGCAGUGAGUUGAGUCAGUGGUAUUGGCAAGCAGCCAGAUUUCAUCACUGCCUCAGGUUUUCUGGCAUUUAGCUAGUGUCCAGGUCAGGUUGCUAUAAAAGAUAUGGAAAAGAAAGGCUGUGUCUUCCUUUCAAAUGUAGUUUAUUAAAGCCAUUAUUUGACCAGAACAUUAAAUGAAUAUAAACCUUUCUGAC